GGCAGCAGCAAGGAAUUUUCGGCAAUGGGCGCAAGCCUGACCGAGCAACGCCGCGUGCGGGAUGACGGCCUUCGGGUUGUAAACCGCUUUUGGGGGGGAUGACAUCGACCGUACCCCCCGAACAAGCCCCGGCUAACUCUGUGCCAGCAGCCGCGGUAAUACAGAGGGGGCAAGCGUUGUCCGGAUUGACUGGGCGUAAAGCGCAUGUAGGUGGCACGGCAAGUGGGGUGUGAAACCCGUCGGCUUAACCGACGGACGCCAUCCCAAACUGCCGCGCUUGAGUCGUGCAGAGGUCCGUGGAAUUGCCGGUGUAGUGGUGAAAUGCGUAGAGAUCGGCAGGAACACCUAGGGGGAAGCCAGCGGACUGGGCAGUGACUGACACUGAGAUGCGACAGCGUGGGGAGCGAACCGGAUUAGAUACCCGGGUAGUCCACGCCGUAAACGAUGUCGGCUCGGCAUGUGCUGGCUAUCAACGCCGGUGGGUGCCUUAGCAAACGCGGUAAGCCGACCGCCUGGGAACUACGAGCGCAAGCUUAAAACUCAAAUGAAUUGACGGAA
rnacentral:rRNA from 1 species